rnacentral:rRNA from 1 species
UUAGCAGUGAGGAAUAUUGGUCAAUAGCCUAACGGCUGAACCAGCAACUUGGAAGAAUGUAUAGUGAAAGCUAAUUGUAUUGUUAGAUUUUAAUUAAUGCAAUAUCGACUAUGUCGAAUAAAGUUCUAAGUAGAGUAAUGAUAAUGACAUAUUCUAUUUAUUUGUCUUGACCAAUUCACGUGCCAGCAGUCGCGGCAACACGUGUAAGACUAGUGUUAUUCAUCUUUAAUAGGUUUAAAGGGUACUUAGACGGUAAAUCAAGCCCCAAAGGGUACUAAUUUACUAGAGUUUUAUAGGAGAGGGGAAGUACUACUGGAGUAGAGAUAAAAUUUAUUGAUACCAUUAUUGGACUGUUAACGGCGAAAGCAACCCUUUAUGUAAAAACUGACGUUGAAAGACGAAGGCUCGGUUAGCUAACAGGAUUAGGUACCCUAGUAGUCCGGGCAGACAAUGAUGAAUGCCAUAGAUUAGAAAUAAUAUUUAGUCUAUAAAUGAAAGUGUAAGCAUUCCACCUCAAGAGUAAUGCGGCAACGCAUAAACUGAAAUCAUUAGACCGUUUCUGAAACCAGUAGUGAAGUAUGUUGUUUAAUUUGAUGAUCCGCAAAAAACCUUACCACAAUUUGAAUAUUUUUAUUAUAAAAAUACAAGCGUUGCACGGCUGUCUUCAGUUAAUGUCGUGAGAUUUUGGUUAGUUCCAUAAAAUUAACGUAAACCCUUACUCUAUUUGUUUUUAUAGAGUAGUUCACCACUAUAUUGGAUAUGAUAACAGGGAUUAAGACAAGUCAUCAUGACCUGAAUAUUGUGGGCUAUAGACGUGCCACAUAA